UUUUAUAAGAUUAUGAAAUACUGUGUAUUUUUAAAUAACUUAUUCUUUUGAUAUGUCUGUAUAGAGACUUAGUGUAAGUGGGGUAUCCUUACAACACAACCUGCAUUGCAUCGUGACAAAGGUGAUAUCAGAACCCAGUUUUGUUAAAAUCCCGUAAUCUGGUUUUGUUAAAACCCUCGUAAUAUGUGGAGCUUAGGAUCUGUCUUGUCUUGAUGUCAUUCCUUUUAUAAUUCUUCAUCCUUGUGUUUUGUAUGUCGUCCUAGAACUCUUUUAUACUUAUGUUGAUAUACUUGCAUUCUUUUAGAAAAAAUACCAAGAGCUAGACAUGUAGUUAAUGCUGACUAUAUUGGUAAUGAUCAGGAGAACAUUCCUAUUAUUCAGCUAAAAAAUGAGAGGCGUAAAAGGAAGGUUAGAACCCCUUUGCCUCAGCCAAAUAGAGGUAGAAGUUUAGGAUGAGAGAGAUUAUGGUUUGGAUGUUGGUCAGGAUCAAAAACAAGAAUUACAGGGUAGGCUGCCUUAUGCUAAUAGUGCUUGGAUAAGAUUGGACAGGCCAUGCAGACCCUAGCUAAUCUUUUAGUUGAGAGAGAGAAAGAGAAGGAGAAGAAUAAGAAUGCAUCUUUGACUUUUCAUAUUGUGUAUGGGGUGAUGGUGCCUUUGUUAGAGUUCUUUAAGCUGGCAUCUCUCAUCUUUAAGGGAGUCAAUAACUCUGAGGACCCACAAUAAUUUUUGGAUGCGGUGUGGAGCAGGUGUGAGGCCAUGGGAUGCACGGAUCAUUGUGUAGUGACUUUAGCAUCUUUCAGGCUAGAAGGUGAGGUAGUUGUUAACUGUGAACUGGUAUGAUUCGAAGAGGAGAGAAAGAGCAGUUAAUUCUCCUCUUAUAACAUGGAAGGAAUUCCCGGAUAUGUUCUUGAAGCGAUUUUCUACCGAAGAAUGUGAGGGACGCCAAAUCCUAUGCUUUUGAGAGGCUGGUUCAAGGUGACUUUGUUGUGACAAGGUAUGACGUGAAGUUCACACGUCUGUAUAAAUAUGCUGGCUAUUAAGGCACGAAAGUUAGAGGAUGAAAUAACAAUCGGUUCUGCUAAGAGGCUCAAGGUGGCGACGUGAGAGUUUGAAAAAGAAAUGCUCGACGAGUACCCACACUUCUUCUAUCAUGAUGAUUUCUUUCAUUGAAGCUUCUUGGACCAGAAGAUCUCGAGGUGAACUUGCAAAGAAACCUAACAAGAAUCUUGGAAAUAUAGGACGAACAUGCUUUAACAUAAAAUGUUGACGCACAAGGUUGCCUCUUACUUUCAAAGUCUACAUGCCUACCCUUGUCACUCUGUAAAGGAUAAGUAUUUUGCCCGUAAAUGAUGUUUCAUCAGCUUUAGUUGGAUGUGCAUCUUUACUUCAACACCUUACCUAGAAUUUCUCGAAAACCAAUCAGAAUUUCUAAUUAUCAAGAUUUUAUAUAUACAUUGUUAUCUUUUUUA